rnacentral:lncRNA from 1 species
UAUAUUGGCCUCCCUGGGGUGUACCAUUAGCUUAUGGAUAUAGGAACAUUAGGAUACAUUGAUUUAUUUUCAUCAAUGAAAGUAAUUUCCUUGUCUAUGCAAAUUAUGCUCAAACUUACCAUUUAAGGUCUCGAUGGUGGUUCUUAAUGAUCGAAUUCUUCAACCUUGACCCUUAUGAGUCUCAUGUUUUCCAUCUCAAAGACAUCCUUAUGAGCCUUACGUACAUGUAGCAUUAUAUUCACAGGGUGACUCUCUU